rnacentral:rRNA from 1 species
CCUACGGGGGGCUGCAGUAGGGAAUAUUGCUCAAUGGGGGAAACCCUGAAGCAGCAACGCCGCGUGGAGGAUGAAGGUUUUCGGAUUGUAAACUCCUUUUGUUAGAGAAGAUAAUGACGGUAUGUAACGAAUAAGCACCGUCUAACUCCGUGCCAGCAGCCUCGGUAAUACGGAGGGUGCAAGCGUUAUUCGGAAUAACUGGGCGUAAAGAGCGCGUAGGCGGGAUAGCAAGUCAGAUGUGAAAUCUUAUGGCUUAACCAUAGAACUGCAUUUGAAACUGUUAUUCUAGAGUAUGGGAGAGGUAGGUGGAAUGCUUGGUGUAGGGGUAAAAUCCAUAGAGAUCAAGAGGAAUACUCAUUGCGAAGGCGACCUGCCAGAACAUAACUGACGUUGAUGCGCGAAAGCGUGGGGAGCAAACAGGAUUAGAUACCCGAGUAGUC